rnacentral:rRNA from 1 species
UACGUAGGUGGCAAGCGUUGUCCGGAAUCAUUGGGCGUAAAGAGCGUGUAGGCGGCCCGGUAAGUCCGCUGUGAAAGUCGGGGGCUCAACCCUCGAAUGCCGGUGGAUACUGUCGGGCUAGAGUGCGGGAGAGGCGACUGGAAUUCCUGGUGUAGCGGUGAAAUGCGCAGAUAUCAGGAGGAACACCGGUGGCGAAGGCGGGUCUCUGGGCCGAUACUGACGCUGAGGAGCGAAAGCGUGGGGAGCGAACAGG